rnacentral:rRNA from 1 species
AUUGAACGCUAGCUACAGGCUUAACACAUGCAAGUCGAGGGACCGGCGCACGGGUGCGUAACACGUAUCCAACCUGCUCUUUACUCGGGGAUAGCCUUUCGCAAGAAAGACUAAUACACGAUGUAAAGGAUGCGGAUGCGUUACAUUAGGUGUUUGGUGAGGUAACGGCUCACCAAGCCUUCGAUGGAUAGGGGUUCUGAGAGGAAGGUCCCCCACAUUGGAACUGGGACACUGUCCAAACUCCUACGGGAGGCAGCAGUGAGGAAUAUUGGUCAAUGGGCGUUAGCCUGAACCAGCCAAGUAGCGUGAAGGAUGAAGACUUAUGAGUCGUAAACUUCUGUUGUAUAAGAAUAUGUAUUAUAUGAAUAAGGAUCGGCUAACUCCGUGCCAGCAGCCGCGGUAAUUC